GCAAGNUAUCAAGGGAUAAACGCACAGCGAGCAGAGAUGCGNCAGCNUCUAAGCCAGCACAAGAAGAUUAGUAGGAAACGUUCGUGCGACGGUAUAUACAUCCNAGACUUGCAUACAGAUUUUCCCCCAUCGGGGGUUUUGGAAAUUCUCUNAAUUGAGUUCCAACNUCAGAGUAGAUNGACGACGCGAUGACACCCCGCGGGGUCGUAUCGGUAAAAUCUGUAUGGUCGAUAGGGAUANCCAAGAUGACAUACGCAAACGACAGAUUGAACCGACGGANAAUCGGCCAUUAACGGGCAAUGACUANGACACGAGACAGAGCUGGUGUANGAGAGUAGANAANCAAACUCCAGCGUAUC
rnacentral:rRNA from 1 species